rfam:Salmo salar isolate Sally breed double haploid chromosome ssa14, whole genome shotgun sequence.
UUCCCUGUGGCUCAGUUGGUAGAGCAUGGUGUUUCCAAUGCCAGCAUGGUGUGUGCAAUGCCAGGGUUGUGGGUUCCAUUCCCACGGGGGACC